GAGAGUGGGUAGUCCGCACGAGCGCACCCUGUCCUUAGUUGCCAGCACAUAAUGGUGGGGACUCUAAGGAGACUGCCUGGGAUAACCAGGAGGAAGGUGGGGAUGAUGUCAAGUCAGUAUGUCCCUUAUGUCCAGGGCUACACACGUGUUACAAUGGCCGGUACAAUGGGCUGCGAACCUGCGAGGGUAAGCCAAUCCCAAAAAACCGGCCCCAGUUCAGAUUGGAGUCUGCAACUCGACUCCAUGAAGGAGGAAUCGCUAGUAAUCGCGGAUCAGCACGCCGCGGUGAAUACGUUCCCGGGUCUUGUACACACCGCCCGUCAAGCCAUGGAAGUCGGCAGUACCCGAAGCCGGUGUCCCAACUCUUCGGAGAGGGAGCCGUCGAAGGUAAGGCUGGUAACUAGGGCUAAGUCGUAACAAGGUAGCCGUACCGGAAGGUGCGGCUGGAUCACCUCCUUUCU
rnacentral:rRNA from 1 species